rnacentral:lncRNA from 1 species
CACAGUUCUCCUAAAUAGUUCCCCCAACUUACCUCCCGUUUUGCUGCUUUGUAGGGGCUCUGACUCAGAAGCAGGACCUGGGGCUCCCCUCUCAGGGACCCCGCUUUGCCCUUCCUCAGCAAUCCUUUUUUUCUUCCCUCUCCUUUCAGUCCAAGCAUCUUGGUGAUUGUGAUUGGCCAUGGCUUCAUAGUGCAUUCUCAUGUCAUGAGGAGCUGUGUUAGAUCAGCUCCAGGUGGGCUGACCCAUUCCACCUGCAACUCAGAGCCUGCAACAGCUGGCUGGCCUUUAAUUUCCUGAAUUGGAAACAACCCUCGCUCAAGGAAUUCGGCCAUUAUGCUGUUGUAGGCUGAUGAAAGGAGCAGAAGCGGCCGGUGUGUAGCUACUGGCUUAGGUGCUCAGCAGAGAGGAUCUACCUGCCCCAGCAUCAGUGGAGAUUUGUCUAAUGGUCUAAAGUUUACCCUUGGGAUGUUUGUAAAUUUAGGUCAUGAUCCUCUAGUAUAUAUAUAUAUAUAUAUAUAUAUAUAUAUAUAUAUAUAUAUAUAUAUAUAUAUAUUUAUUUAUAAAAUGGAAUAAAAUUUAUUUUUCUCCC